CUUGAUUUUAAAUGAAACUGGUUUUCCAGAGCCUCUCAACCAUCAUGUUCUCCUAACCAGGGUGCUGGGGCACAGAAACAGCGACAGUCAGUGCCUAUGGUUUCAUUUGCUCUUGGCCUGGACAGCCAGACAACAUCCCUGCUGGACCAGGACAGUCAGAUGUACCUAGACAAUCUGCACUUAUCAGUUUGAGUCUCAUGUAAUUCUGAGACCAGUCUCCCACAUACCGAUACCAAUGGGAUUUUUCCUGCUGGAUUAAGCAGAAAGAGGAAUACCAGCUGAAAUCUAGAAAGACCAUGAGAGGAGGGUUUUUUCCACACAAUUUGUAAUUAAUUAUGGUACUCACUGCUACAGGAUUUUAUGAAUCUCGCUUUUUUGUAUAUAUUGAAAAUAUAAUCAGACAACUUAAUGAGAGUAAGAUCUAUCAGGGACUUUCAAAUAUUCAGACAGUAAUUCUUAAAAAAUACUUAUAAAAGCUAUCCCCAUAUCUUAGAUCACUAGAAACUAUGGGACUGUACUGAGGAUGUGUCACUGCAUGUUUGCCACUUCUUAUUCACUUUCUUAGGCAUUUGCUGUUGGCUUCUCCUGGAGGAAUGGUACCUGGUGGCCUGGACCUUUGAUUUGAUCACUCUGAGUAGUCUGAGAUAUGUGAACAAAAAGCUUGACUUUGACUCAAAGGUUGUAUU